rnacentral:rRNA from 1 species
UAUGCACAGCUGUAAACUCUGGCAGUACACUACAAAAACUGCCCGCCAGGGAACUACGAGCACUAGCUUGAAACCCAAAGGACUUGGCGGUGCUUUAGAACCACCUAGAGGAGCCUGUUCUAGAACCGAUAACCCCCGUUCAACCUCACCCUCUCUUGUUCCUUCCCGCCUAUAUACCGCCGUCGUCAGCUUACCCUGUGAAGGCUUAAGAAGUAAGCACAAUCAGUACAACUCAAAACGUCAGGUCGAGGUGUAGCUUAUGAGAGGGGAAGAAAUGGGCUACAUUCCCUAUUUUCAGGGCACACGAAAAAAAUGCUGAAAUGCAUUUUGGAAGGAGGAUUUAGCAGUAAGCGGAAAGUAGAGCGUUCCGCUGAAGCCGGCACUGAAGCGCGCA